GAAACCUCCAGCAGAACCAGGCUCAGGUAGGGGCAGCCAUCUGUCGCCAUUUAGUAGGGGUGAGGGGCAGGAGACAGAACAAAAAACACACCAUGGAAGAGAGCCAGAGAUCAAUAAUAAUUAAUCAUUAAAUGCAAAGUAGCAUAUAAACACAUAGUGAGUGAAAAACUUUAUUCUCUACACUCCAAGCAUUUUAUCUACCUCACAUUCACAGCCAGGUUUGAAUCACCAAUUAGCCUGACAUUCAUGUCUUUAGACUGUGGGAGGAAGCUGGAGUAUCUGGAGAAAACGCACAUCAGGUACUGGAGCUGGUCAAAUAUGCAAACACCACACAGAAAGGUCCCAGCCAGGAUUGAAACCAGAAGCUUUUUCUGCUAUGAGCAAAGUCUCGAGCAUGUGGACGAUAUACCCAGAGAUUGGUAGAAGGCUCAACAGGGAAACAGGUGUCAACCCAGCUGCAGGAGCGACAUUUGCUCUUUCGUUUGAGGAGAAACAGGAGGAACAUUGCCAGAGCUCUACAAUGUGACCUCCAGUGAGCUACUUAUCCAUGUUCCUGACCAAACUGUCAGACUCUGUGAGAGUGGCAUGAAGGUCUGGCAUCCUGGAACCUAUUCUCACAGCAUAGUACUGUGUAGGGUAUUGACACUGAUGACUCUUUGGAUAUCGUGCAAAGAGGUCUGAUUUCUUAUUCACAUUAAUCUCAGACAACCAAAUACUGUUACUGUAAGAUAUAUACAUACAUACAUUUUCUUCCGCUUAUCUAAUUCAGUGUCGCGAGGCAGCUGAGAUAGGCUCCAGCCCCCCUGCGACCCUGAAAUAUAUAUCAUAAUAAAAAGUUAACUUAUACAUAUACAUAAUAAAAUAAAGUAUUUUUCAUUUCCCAGUUGAAUAUCAUCAAUCAAUUAAAAUCACAGUUUUGUAUCAUAAUAAUCAUUUACCAUCUAAGUAUGUAAUGAGCCCUCUCCUGCCAUUCCGUCAGAAGCCUGGGCACCAACAACAAACACAAUGACCAAGGUGAUCUUUACAAAACACAUGGCAGACAGUAAAAGGUUAAACAUGUUUUGAUAUAACCAAGUGUGUCCUCUCGUGUUUGCCUGUGUUUGGGUGUGUUUUUCUGCCUGAAUUCAGUAGCUAAUGAGGGGGUUAAGCGCAGACAGUUCUGGGACACUGUUUAGGAGCUUAGAUUUAUUAGUACUCUGUCACAUCUGCCGGGCUCUUAUCAUCAUCUGUAUUAUCCUGUCUUUCUUCAAAUCAAUUUUGGUCUUAGUUGGAAUGAAGUGCACUAAGAUCGAAGGGUCCGAGCUUGCUAAUGCAAGAGUAACCUUUGCCGGAGGGAUGAACUACCUUAUAGGAGGCAAGACAAAAAUUUGGGUGAACUGAGUCACAUUGUGAUAUACUGCACUGUUUAAUAUUUAAAUAAAUGUGUGAGUAUUGUUUCAGGGAUGUGUUCUGUGAUUGCUUUCUCCUACUAUGGAAACAAAAUAAGAGUUGAAUUUGAAGAUCCAAACUAAAUGGAACAGAAGUUUGAAAUAGGAGUAGGUGUCGUCAUUGGCUGGGGAGGCUCUACCUUACUUGUUUCUGGGGGCCUUAUUUACAGUAUCUUUGCAGGAAGAGAAGGUGCUGCUCAAGCCCAAAGAAAUACCCUGAAAACCAGCUCCGUGAUUCCGUGAUACCAACACGAAAGAACCAAGUGUCCUGGGCUCCCUAGUGAUAGAUACAAAUUCAAGGACCACCAAGUCCAGCAACAGCAGCAGCAGCAGAGCCAGUAGCGUCUCAGCAAUCACCAACACCACUAAACACCACUACAGCUACUAGCUCAUAUCACAAAAGCAUGUCCAUCUUGGUUUGGGAGGGCCUCUAGCUUCUUUUAAUUUAAGUAACAUCUGUGUUGUCUAUUUAGCAAAGCAGUAAAGAUCAGUUUGAAAUGUUAUUUUCUUCCAUGUAUUUAUCAAGUUUUAAACUUUACAAUAACACCACCAUUAAACAAAACAAAACAAAACAAACAACCCA